GUCUCUGAGUGGUACAGUUAACACACCUGACUGCUAACCAGAAGGUUGGAGGUUCAAGUCCACCCAGAGACG
rnacentral:tRNA from 1 species